rnacentral:rRNA from 1 species
AGCUUGUUGGUAGGGUAAUGGCCUACCAAGGCGACGAUGGUUAGCUGGUCUGAGAGGAUGAUCAGCCACACUGGAACUGACACACGGUCCAGACUCCUACGGGAGGCAGCAGUGAGGAAUUUUGCGCAAUGGGGGAAACCCUGACGCAGCAACGCCGCGUGAGUGAAGAAGGCUUUCGGGUCGUAAAGCUCUGUCAAGUGGGAAAAAAUUUCUGUUGUGAAUAGCAACAGAACCUGAUGGUACCACUGGAGGAAGCACCGGCUAACUCCGUGCCAGCAGCCGCGGUAAUACGGAGGGUGCAAGCGUUGUUCGGAAUUACUGGGCGUAAAGAGCGUGUAGGCGGUCUGGUAAGUCUGAUGUGAAAGCCCUGGGCUCAACCCAGGAAGUGCAUUUGAUACUGCCAUUCUUGAGUAUGGGAGAGGAGAGUGGAAUUCCCAGUGUAGAGGUGAAAUUCGUAGAUAUUGGGAGGAACACCCGUGGCGAAGGCGACUCUCUGGACCAAUACUGACGCUGAGACGCGAAAGCGUGGGGAGCAAACAGGAUUAGAUACCCUGGUAGUCCACGCCGUAAACGAUGAGAACUAGGUGUGGCGGGUAUUGACCCCUGCUGUGCCGAAGUUAACGCACUAAGUUCUCCGCCUGGGGAGUACGGCCGCAAGGCUAAAACUCAAAGGAAUUGACGGGGACCCGCACAAGCGGUGGAGCAUGUGGUUUAAUUCGACGCAACGCGAAGAACCUUACCUGGAUUUGACAUCCUCUGACAGUCCCGGAAACGGGAUUUUUUCGACUUGUCGAAACAGAGUGACAGGUGCUGCAUGGCUGUCGUCAGCUCGUGUCGUGAGAUGUUGGGUAAGUCCCGCAACGAGCGCAACCCCUGUUUUUAGUUGCCAAUAUUAAGUUAGGCACUCUAAAAAUACUGCCUCGGUUAACGGGGAGGAAGGUGGGGAUGACGUCAAGUCCUCAUGGCCUUUAUAUCCAGGGCUACACACGUGCUACAAUGGGCUGUACAAAGGGUCGCUAUUCCGCGAGGAGGAGCUAAUCCCAAAAAGCAGUUCUCAGUUCGGAUUGGAGUCUGCAACUCGACUCCAUGAAGGUGGAAUCGCUAGUAAUCGUGGAUCAGCAUGCCACGGUGAAUACGUUCCCGGGUCUUGUACACACCGCCCGUCACACCACGAAAGUCGACUGUACCAGAAGUUGCUGGGCUAACCCCUUUGGGGAGGUAGGUACCUAAGGUACGGCCGGUAAUUGGGGUGAAGUCGCAACAAGGUAGCCGUAGGGGAACCUGUGGCUG